UCUCAGCUUUGUGCUUGCCGUGAAGUAUGCAAGUUCCUAACUUCCUGCACCAGCCGCCAAGCCUACGACUUGCUGCCAUAUUUCCUUGCCACGAUGGAGUCAUUGCUCCGGAAACUUCAGCCAAGAUGAACUCCCGCUCCCAGAAGCUGCUGUUGGUCCAUAGGCUUUGUCGAGGCAGUAGAAAAGAAAUUAAGACCGCCUGGUUGUGUGAACGAAAUAGAUGAGAAGCAAAGCUGAGGUCAGAAAAGCCCAUAUUAGAUGUGCAUCCACGAGGAUACAAAUAUCAGCAGUUGUGGAUGACAAACCCACAAACGACCACAGCAGUGCAAUUUGUCUACAUGGCUUUACUCUAGACUCCCAAAGAUGAUGGACUACCACAUUUCAGGCUUGGACAGAAUUUCCUGGAUGGAUCAUCUUGUCACAGCAGAUCUCUUACAGAGAACAUCUUCAUUGGUGAAGCAUUCAGAAGUUGAAAAUGUGUAGCCAUUGAGAAAAAGCAAAAUCAAGGGGAGCAAAGGAUUGUGCAAACUGGAGGACAUGGGAGGUUCUUGGUCAGAAGAAAAUCUUAGAAGUCUUUUCCUUUGUCAAUACAAGAUAUGAGUGCUGGCUUGUGAAGCGCACUACCCUGGAGAACACUGCUCCUCUGAUUUCUGGGUGAAUGAACCUUGACUUUCCUGACCCUGUUAGUUGGCAAGCUAUCAAUAUGAUGCCCUGCAUGCACCAUGACGACUGUACUCUACCUUAAAAUCUAGUUGACCUGCACACAACUGAGGCCAUAGCCUUUAGGUUGGUGCUCAAAUUAGAUUGACUGUUGAGAGAGCCAUCGUGUCCCCUGGAGCAAUGUCCUCCCUGCAUCUUAGCAGAGAACACGUGGUCCUGAUUGGUACCCAGUUGCCCUCCUCCUGCUCUUCUCUGUAUUAUUCUCUGCCUUGCUUUUAAUGUAGAAGACUUGCUUUAAUAGAUCUGGUCAUAGGGGCCGGAGGAGGGUUCAUUCUGAGACUGGAGGGCUAGGGUAGAGAGGAAAUAAGGCUCUUUCCUAGACAGAGAUGCUAGACAAGGCCCUGCACUUCCCUCACUGGAGCUGCUGCCAUUGCUGCUCAGCUGGGAUUAUCUUCUUGCUUCUCUUGUUUCUGGGAUACCCUAACACCCUGGUGGACUGUCUCCCCACACUCUAUACACAUCAAUCUAUCUGGUAGAGUAUACGGGUCAUAACCACUGCCAUCGUAGUCUGUCUAGAUUGUUACAGGAGAAAAAAUGCAAUGGGCUGAGCAGCUUAAAUAUUCAACUCUGGAUUCUUACAGUUCCUGGUCAAGGAGCUGAUGGAUUUGGUAUCUGCAGAGGUUCGGCUUUUCUAGUUCAUCAUUGGCCAUUUUCUUACUCCAUGCUUAUACAGUGGGAAAGAUAAGUUCUGAGAAUUCUCCCACACUUCACCUUCUCCAUUCAAAAACACGCCAGAACAAUCAACCAGAGAUGGGAGUCAGGGCAUAGUAAAAUGUAAUCUGGGAUUCACUCCUGACAGAUGCCAUAGCCUUUAUUCACAUUUUUACUAUAUAUUAUAUGGUCUCUCCAUGCAGAAAAUGUGAGCAAAUGGAAACGACAACAAAAAUAA
rnacentral:sRNA from 1 species